ensembl:misc_RNA Metazoa_SRP Metazoan signal recognition particle RNA
UCUGGGUGUGGUGGUGCACACCUGUGGUCCUAGCUACUUAGGAGGCUGAGGCGGGAGGAUUGCUUGAGCCCAGGAGUUUGAGGCAGUGAGCUGAUUGUGCCAUUGCACUUCAGCCUGGGCAACAGAGUAAGACCCUGUCUCUA